rnacentral:rRNA from 1 species
GGGCCCGCACAAGCGGUGGAGCAUGUGGUUUAAUUCGAUGAUACGCGAGGAACCUUACCAGGGCUUAAAUGUAGAUUGCAUUAGCUAGAGAUAGCUAUUUCUUCGGACUAUCUACAAGGUGCUGCAUGGUUGUCGUCAGCUCGUGCCGUGAGGUGUCAGGUUAAGUCCUAUAACGAGCGCAACCCCUGUUGUUAGUUGCCAGCGAGUCAAGUCGGGAACUCUAACAAGACUGCCAGUGCAAACUGUGAGGAAGGUGGGGAUGACGUCAAAUCAUCACGGCCCUUACGUCCUGGGCUACACACGUGCUACAAUGGUAGGUACAGAGAGCAGCCAAUGCGCGAGCAUGAGCAAAUCUAUAAAACCGAUCUCAGUUCGGAUCGCAGUCUGCAACUCGACUGCGUG